CAUUAGCUAAAAUCUUCCAAGAAAUCCCAGAUUCAGGCUUCACUGGUUUUCUCCUUUCCAAUCUGAAGCUGAGGCUUGCCUUCUGACCUCCAAAGAUGUUCAGUCAAGUACUGGGUUGAGACAGAAUACUGGCUCAUCACCAAAGUCUAACCUGGUUCUUCUAGUGAAGAAAUUGCCAAAAUUAGGAGUUGUGAAAUACUCUAAAAGACCUUGCCAAGAACAUGUAUUUUGUGUCCCUGCUGAUGUCCAGUGGCACCCCAGAUUGCUCAUUUCAUGCAGAGAGUGCUUGUCCCAUGGUGAGUAUCUUGUGGGGAACUUGAGUAUCUCCUUGUUAUAAAAUCUUCCUUUCUUCCUUUCCAUAGAGGGUAUACAAGGCCUUUUGGGUUUUUAUCAACAACUUAUUGGUACCACAGAACACUAAUAAUCUCAUUCAAAUACUUUGCAGAGAAGAAUUCUUCCUUUGAUAGAGCUCUU
rnacentral:lncRNA from 1 species